rnacentral:rRNA from 1 species
UACGGGGGAGCAAGCGUUGUUCGGAUUUACUGGGCGUAAAGGGCGCGUAGGCGGUCGUGACAAGUCACUUGUGAAAUCUCCGGGCUUAACUCGGAACGGUCAAGUGAUACUGUCGGACUAGAGUACAGAAGGGGCAACUGGAAUUCUCGGUGUAGCGGUGAAAUGCGUAGAUAUCGAGAGGAACACCUGCGGCGAAGGCGGGUUGCUGGGCUGAUACUGACGCUGGAG